rnacentral:rRNA from 1 species
AUUGAACGCUGGCGGCAUGCCUAACACAUGCAAGUCGAGCGGAAGAAGGGGGCUUGCUCCUUGGUUCAGCGUGGGACGGGUGAGUAAUGCCUAUGGAUCUGCCUGGUGGUGUGGGAUAACGUCCGGAGACGGGCGCUAAUACCGCGUACGUCAUGAGCGAGAAAGAGGGGGAGAUUCUGAGCUCUCGCUCUCAGGUGAUCCGAGGUCGGAUUAGCUAGUUGGUGGGGUAGAGGCCUACCAAGGCGACGAUCAGUAACUGGUCUGAGAGGAUGAUCAGUCACACUGGAACUGAGACACGGUCCAGACUCCUACGGGAGGCAGCAGUGGGGAAUAUUGGACAAUGGGCGAAAGCCUGAUCCAGCCAUGCCGCGUGUGUGAAGAAGGCCUUCGGGUUGUAAAGCACUUUUAGUCGGGAAGAAGGCCUGUGCGCUAAUACCUUCCUGGUUUGACGGUACCAAAAGAAUAAGCACCGGCUAACUACGUG